rnacentral:tRNA from 1 species
GCGGAGGUGGCGAAAUUGGCAGACGCACUAGCUUGAGGUGCUAGCGGGUAAAACCGUAGGGGUUCAAGUCCCCUCCUCCGCACCA